ensembl:snRNA U6 U6 spliceosomal RNA
GUACUCACUUCACAGGACCUAUACUAAAGUCAGAAAAAUACAGAGGAGAUUAGCAUGGCCCCUGCAUGAGGGUGACAUACAAAUUAGUGAAGCAUUCUUUAUUUGA